AUUGAACGCUGGCGGCAGGCUUAACACAUGCAAGUCGAGCGAGCGGCGGACGGGUGAGUAAUGUCUGGGAACCUGCCUGAUGGAGGGGGAUAACUACUGGAAACGGUAGCUAAUACCGCAUACCAUCAGAUGGGCCCAGAUGGGAUUAGCUAGUAGGUGGGGUAAGGGCUCACCUAGGCGACGAUCCCUAGCUGGUCUGAGAGGAUGACCAGCCAAACGGGAACUGGAACAGGGUCCAAAUUCCUACGGGAGGCAGCAGUGGGGAAUAUUGCACAAGGGGCGCAAGCCUGAUGAAGCCAUGCCGCUUGUGUGAAGAAGGCCUUCGGGUUGUAAAGCACUUUGAGCGAGGAGGCGUUACUCGCAGAAGAAGCACCGGCUAACUCCGUGCCAGCAGCCGCGGUAUAC
rnacentral:rRNA from 1 species